UAGUUCCCGGGUCUUGUACACACCGCCCGUCACACCAUGGGAGCGGGUUUUACCAGAAGUAGGUAGCUUAACCGUAAGGAGGGCGCUUACCACGGUAGGAUUCGUGACUGGGGUG
rnacentral:rRNA from 1 species